AUGCAAGUCGAGCGGUAGAGAGAAGCUUGCUUCUCUUGAGAGCGGCGGACGGGUGAGUAAUGCCUAGGAAUCUGCCUGGUAGUGGGGGAUAACGUUCGGAAACGGACGCUAAUACCGCAUACGUCCUACGGGAGAAAGCAGGGGACCUUCGGGCCUUGCGCUAUCAGAUGAGCCUAGGUCGGAUUAGCUAGUUGGUGAGGUAAUGGCUCACCAAGACCGCGAUCCGUAACUGGUCUGAGAGGAUAAUCAGUCACACUGGAACUGAGACACGGUCCAGACUCCUACGGGAGGCAGCAGUGGGGAAUAUUGGACAAUGGGGGGAACCCUGAUCCAGCCAUGCCGCGUGUGUGAAGAAGGUCUUAGGAUUGUAAAGCACUUUAAGUUGGGAGGAAGAGCAGUUAACUAAUAUUUGACUGUUUUGACGUUACCGACAGAAUAAGCACCGGCUAACUUCGUGCCAGCAGCCGCGGUAAUACGAAGGGUGCAAGCGUUAAUCGGAAUUACUGGGCGUAAAGCGCGCGUAGGUGGUUCGUUAAGUUAGGAGUGAAAGCCCCGGGCUCAACCUGGGAAUUGCUUCUAAAACUGGCGGGCUAGAGUAUGGUAGAGGGUGGUGGAAUUUCCUGUGUAGCGGUGAAAUGCGUAGAUAUAGGAAGGAACAUCAGUGGCGAAGGCGACCACCUGGACUGAUACUGACACUGAGGUGCGAAAGCGUGG
rnacentral:rRNA from 1 species